rnacentral:rRNA from 1 species
GGUUACUGCUAUCGGUGUUCGCCUAAGCCAUGCGAGUCAUAUGUUCGUAAGAACAUGGCGUACUGCUCAGUAACACGUGGAUAACCUGCCCUUGGGUCCGGCAUAACCCCGGGAAACUGGGGAUAAUUCCGGAUAACGCACAUAUGCUGGAAUGCUUUAUGCGUAAAAUGGAUUCGUCUGCCCAAGGAUGGGUCUGCGGCCUAUCAGGUAGUAGUGGGUGUAAUGUACCUACUAGCCUACGACGGGUACGGGUUGUGAGAGCAAGAGCCCGGAGAUGGAUUCUGAGACAUGAAUCCAGGCCCUACGGGGCGCAGCAGGCGCGAAAACUUUACAAUGCGGGAAACCGUGAUAAGGGGACACCGAGUGCCAGCAUCCUAUGCUGGCUGUCCGGGUGUGUAAAAUACACCUGUUAGCAAGGGCCGGGCAAGACCGGUGCCAGCCGCCGCGGUAACACCGGCGGCCCGAGUGGUGAUCGUGAUUAUUGGGUCUAAAGGGUCCGUAGCCGGUUUGGUCAGUCCUCCGGGAAAUCUGACAGCUUAACUGUUAGGCUUUCGGAGGAUACUGCCAGACUUGGAACCGGGAGAGGUAAGAGGUACUACAGGGGUAGGAGUGAAAUCUUGUAAUCCCUGUGGGACCACCUGUGGCGAAGGCGUCUUACCAGAACGGGUCCGACGGUGAGGGACGAAAGCUGGGGGCACGAACCGGAUUAGAUACCCGGGUAGUCCCAGCCGUAAACGAUGCUCGCUAGGUGUCAGGCAUGGCGCGACCGUGUCUGGUGCCGCAGGGAAGCCGUGAAGCGAGCCACCUGGGAAGUACGGCCGCAAGGCUGUAACUUAA